UAGCGUAAUUAACUUGACUAUUAAUGGGAUUAGUUUUUUACUAUUUAUAGUUUAUUUAACGCAAUCCCGGGGCGCUGUAGAUAGUUAUGUAUAAUAAUAUUUAUAUUAUUUAUGCCUCUAACUGGAACGUACCUGUAGCAUAUAUGUUGUGACCUGAAAGAUGGUGAACUAUACUUGAUCAGGUAGAAGUCAGGAGAAACCCUCAUGGAAGACCGAAACAGUUCUGACGUGCAAAUCGAUGGUCAGAAUUGAGUAUAGGGGAGAAAGACCAAUCGAACCAUGUAGUAGCUGGUUCCUUCCCAAGUUUCCCUCAGGAUAGCAGGUGCAUUUAACUGUUGUAUAAAAUAAUCUUAUCUGGUAAAGCGAAUGAUUAGAGGCCUUAGGGUCGAAACGAUCUUAACCUAUUCUCAAACUUUAAAUGGGUAAGAACCUUAACUUUCUUGAUAUGAAGUUUAAGGUUAUGAUAUAAUGUGCCCAGUGGGCCACUUUUGGUAAGCAGAACUGGCGCUGUGGGAUGAACCAAACGUAAUGUUACGGUGCCCAAAUUACAACUCAUACAGAAACCAUGAAAGGCGUUGGUUGCUUAAAACAGCAGGACGGUGAUCAUGGAGACGGAGCUCCGUUCACGCGUCUUAGACCACACAUCACACAUAGCAGCAUACGACCCUUGACAAUUCAGCUGAAGAAAUAUGCUAGACAUUUUAAUGUAUAGCAUUCGCCCGCGCAACAAUCGCCCCGUAUAUGGGACAGGCUAGAGACAUCAUCAGAUGUCCCGACGGC
rfam:Drosophila virilis strain TSC#15010-1051.87 Ctg01_2813, whole genome shotgun sequence.